rnacentral:scRNA from 1 species
GUGUAAGUGUUACAAACCCAUUGUACAGACUA